UACGUAGGGUGCGAGCGUUAAUCGGAAUUACUGGGCGUAAAGAGUGCGUAGGUGGUUGAAUAAGUUAUCUGUGAAAAUCCCUGGGCUUAACCUGGGCAGGUCAGAUAAUACUGUUUGACUCGAGUAUGGGAGAGGGUAGUGGAAUUUCCGGUGUAGCGGUGAAAUGCGUAGAGAUCGGAAGGAACACCAGUGGCGAAGGCGGCUACCUGGCCUAAUACUGACACUGAGGCACGAAAGCGUGGGGAGCAAACAGG
rnacentral:rRNA from 1 species